rnacentral:rRNA from 1 species
UACGUAGGGUGCAAGCGUUGUCCGGAUUUAUUGGGCGUAAAGAGCGUGUAGGCGGCUUUACAGGUCCGUUGUGAAAACUCGAGGCUCAACCUCGAGACGCCGGUGGAAACCGUAAAGCUAGAGUCCGGAAGAGGAGAGUGGAAUUCCUGGUGUAGCGGUGAAAUGCGCAGAUAUCAGGAAGAACACCCGUGGCGAAGGCGGCUCUCUGGGACGGUACUGACGCUGAGACGCGAAAGCGUGGGGAGCGAACAGG